AAAUAACAUGCGUGUGUGACUUAGAUGAGCGUCACUUCCUGGGAUCCCGUUUCGCUUCUGGUUCAUGGACUGAGGGCUGCUGUGAUUUUGGUUUUGCAGGACGAUUGCGGCAACUGUAGUUAUCUCCGUGGCUGCAGAUAUUGUGGCUUUGACUUGUUGGCGGCGGCGUGUGUCUCGCAUCUGCAUAUGCGACCACAUUCAGUCAAUAUAAUGCUGUGUAUGGGCGGAUGACGACUGUAUAUGCCGAGUUAUUUUCCUUGCGUAUCCUGAGCUCCACCGGCUGAGUGAUUAAACCGAAACUAUACUUCGCAUUGCAUCUAUGGAGUAUUAUCUUCACUUCUACUGACUCCCGGGUCCCUGUGCCUGUUAUCUGGUAGGUCUAAUUCAUGUGGGUUUUAUUACAUAAAUGUUUUAUGGUGACUGGUUAACAUGACUAGUUUUCCCCUGUGUUGUAGAGUGAUAGGGGCACGCAGUGACGUCACCGCUGUCUUGUUCCUGGUUGAACAUUCAUGAAUUUCGUGUUAAUACGGUUGUGAAUCCGUUGAGUGUGGGAGUGUUUUUGUUUGCAUUUAUAUGGUCCAGUUGUGUUUUGAAUUAAUUUGGUUAAUUCUGUUAUUGUGUGUUUGGCAGGCAUUAAGUGUCAGCUGUGUUGCCUGCCUAAAUCUUGUGUUAAUUAUUUUUGUUGUGUUUGAGUGUGUGUGUGUGUGUGUGUGUGUGUGUGUGUGUGUGUGCUAUUUUGUUUUACAGGAGCUGCAGACCUUUUAUGGAGAGCAGGGCUGAAGUCUUUCUUUAGGUGGUGAUGGUGUUUCCUCACAGAGUGCUGUGAUUUGCCGUGUGCACUGGGGCUUUUGGAUUGGUGUAAUUUAACUGUUUGUUUACUGUUCAAGAUGGAGGGAGAAUUGCAGGAGCUACGGGACCUGGUGACUCAGUUGAGAGUGGAGAAUGAGAGGUUGAGGCAGGAACAGCCUUCAGUAAGUUCCCUAGUGAGUAAUACUACACAUGGUAAUGAUGCGGCAGCAGCUAGGCCUAUUUUGCCAGGUGCUGGUGCUGCAUCGGCUGAUAGGUUUGUUUUUGUCCCUAGAGACCGGAAAUGUCCAAAAUUUAGUGGAACGUCAGGUAUAGCUAUUGAUGAAUGGG
ensembl:lncRNA